CUUCCUUUCCAUGAAGGAGAUGAAGACGAAGAUGAUGAUGAUAAAGAGAAGGUGCACAAGAAGAAGAAGAGCAACAAC
rnacentral:sRNA from 1 species